AGAUUGAACGCUGGCGGCAGGCCUAACACAUGCAAGUCGAGCGGCAGCACGGGUACUUGUACCUGGUGGCGAGCGGCGGACGGGUGAGUAAUGCCUAGGAAUCUGCCUGAUAGUGGGGGAUAACGUUCGGAAACGGACGCUAAUACCGCAUACGUCCUACGGGAGAAAGUGGGGGAUCUUCGGACCUCACGCUAUCAGAUGAGCCUAGGUCGGAUUAGCUAGUUGGUAGGUAAAGGCCUACCAAGGCUACGAUCCGUAACUGGUCUGAGAGGAUGAUCAGUCACACUGGAACUGAGA
rnacentral:rRNA from 1 species